GUUGUUCACAUAUAUUUUGAAUGGGAUCUUGAAACGUCAAUUGGUAGAAUACUCAUUUCGAUAUGUUCAUAUCAUAUAUGCAGGAAGUCAAACGUUUCUGAUGAAUGCUAGCAAAGAACGUCAGUACAUUUCAUUUUUUCUAGUCAAUUACCUAAAUGGUCCGUAUGAAACUUAUUUAUUUCUAUAUGCAUACAUUAUAUUUUGAGCAUCAAUUUCCAUAAAACAAACUUUUUUUGUAUUUAAGGAGAUAUAAAGUAUAAGACAACAGCAAAGAAAUGUUGUGAUAUCUUUAGAAGCGCAGUCAAUCCUCGAAAUAUAUUUACGUCGAGCGUAGUAAUACGAUUGCGGUACAGGUACCUGAAAAAUAAUAGUUUUAGACGUUCUGCACAACAUUUGUUGUAUUCAUAAAUGGUAGGCUGAUAGGGUUAGCUGUUUGCAAACUAGUGAAAAUAUUCCAUUUAUAUAUACUGGCAUAUGCUUAUAAUGUUAUCAUCACUUUUUACACAUUGACGGCUUAAAUUAUAAACGUCAG
rnacentral:lncRNA from 1 species